rnacentral:rRNA from 1 species
AAGGAUUCCCCUAGUAACUGCGAGUGAAGCGGGAUGAGCUCAAAUUUAAAAUCUGUCAGCUUUCGCUGUCCGAGUUGUAAUCUAGAGAAGCAUUUUCUGUGAUGGACCGUGUACAAGUUUCUUGGAAUAGAACUUCAUAGAGGGUGAGAAUCCCGUCCAUGACACGGACUACCGUUACUUUGUGAUAUGCUCUCAAAGAGUCGAGUUGUUUGGGAAUGCAGCUCAAAAUGGGUGGUAAGUUCCAUCUAAAGCUAAAUAUUGGCGAGAGACCGAUAGCGAACAAGUACCGUGAGGGAAAGAUGAAAAGCACUUUGGAAAGAGAGUUAAACAGUACGUGAAAUUGUUGAAAGGGAAACGCUUGAAGUCAGUCGCGUUGCUUAGGACUCAGCCUUGCUUUUGCUUGGUGUACUUCCUAUGUAACGGGUCAACAUCAAUUUUGGUUGGUGGAUAAAGAUUGAAGGAAUGUGGCAUCUUAGGAUGUGUUAUAGCCUUCUUUCGUAUACACUGGCUGGGAUUGAGGUCUGCAGCACGCCUUUAUGGCCGGGGUUCGCCCACGUAUCGUGCUUAGGAUGUUGGCAUAAUGGCUUUAAGCGACCCGUCUUGAAACACGGACCAAGGAGUCUAACAUGCUUGCGAGUAUUAGAGUGGAAAACUCUUGUGCGUAAUGAAAGUGAAAGUUGGGACUCUUCGCGGAGGCACCGACGCCCGGCUCUGAAGUUUACUGACGAUGCUGCGGUAGAGCACGUAUGUUGGGACCCGAAAGAUGGUGAACUAUGCCUGAAUAGGGUGAAGCCAGGGGAAACUCUGGUGGAGGCUCGUAGCGAUUCUGACGUGCAAAUCGAUCGUCAAAUUUGGG